rnacentral:rRNA from 1 species
GCCAGACUCCUACGGGAGGCAGCAGUGAGGAAUAUUGGUCAAUGGGCGGGAGCCUGAACCAGCCAAGUCGCGUGAGGGAAGACGGUCCUACGGAUUGUAAACCUCUUUUGCCGGGGAGCAACGGGGUCCUUGCGAGGACCCGAUGAGAGUACCCGGAGAAAAAGCAUCGGCUAACUCCGUGCCAGCAGCCGCGGUAAUACGGAGGAUGCGAGCGUUAUCCGGAUUUAUUGGGUUUAAAGGGUGCGUGGGCGGGAUGCCAAGUCAGCGGUAAAAAUGCGGUGCUCAACGCCGUCGAGCCGUUGAAACUGGCGUUCUUGAGUGGGCGAGAAGUAUGCGGAAUGCGUGGUGUAGCGGUGAAAUGCAUAGAUAUCACGCAGAACUCCGAUUGCGAAGGCAGCAUACCGGCGCCCUACUGACGCUGAGGCGCGAAAGCGUGGGUAUCGAACAGGAUUAGAUACCCCGGUA